AUACUUGCCUGGCAGGGGAGAUACUGUGAUCACAAAGGCGGUUUUCCCAGGGCCAGGCUCACCCGCUGCACUCCAGAUGUGCUGGCCCCUGCGAUUCCCCCAGAUGUGGGAAACUCACCUGCACGAUUUGUGGUAGUGGGGGACUGCGUUCGCGCUCCCCCCUA